rnacentral:rRNA from 1 species
CCUACGGGAGGCAGCAGUGGGGGAUAUUGCACAAUGGAGGCAACUCUGACCCAGCAACGCCGCGUGGGCGAUGAAGCUCUUCGGAUCGUAAAGCUCUGUAAGCGGGGACGAAGAAAGUGACUGUACCCGCAGAAUAAGCCUCUGCUAACUACGUGCCAGCAGCGGCGGUAAUACGUAGGAGGCAAUCGUUAUCCGGAAUGACUGGGCGUAAAGGGGGCGUAGGUGGUUUUGCAAGUUAGUAGCGUAAUCCCGGGGCUCAACCUCGGUGCUACUACCGAAACUGUUGAACUUGAGUGCAGGAGGGGUGAAUGGAAUUCCCGGUGUAGCGGUGGAAUGCGUAGAUAUUGGGAAGAACACCAGCGGCGAAGGCGAUUUACUGGACUGUAACUGACAUUGAGGCCCGAAAGCGUGGGGAGCAAACAGGAUUAGAUACCCGAGUAGUC